rnacentral:rRNA from 1 species
CUACGGGGGGCUGCAGUGAGGAAUAUUGCACAAUGGGGGAAACCCUGAUGCAGCAACGCCGCGUGGAGGAUGACGCAUUUCGGUGUGUAAACUCCUUUUAUCAGAGAAGAAAAUGACGGUAUCUGAUGAAUAAGCUCCGGCUAACUCCGUGCCAGCAGCCGCGGUAAUACGGAGGGAGCAAGCGUUAUUCGGAAUCACUGGGCGUAAAGGACGCGUAGGCGGGUUUUUAAGUCAGGUGUGAAAUCCUAUGGCUCAACCAUAGAACUGCACUUGAAACUGGGGACCUAGAGUAUGGAAGGGGCAGGUGGAAUUAGUGGUGUAGGGGUAAAAUCCGUAGAUAUCACUAGGAAUACCGAAAGCGAAGGCGACCUGCUGGGACAUUACUGACGCUGAGGCGUGAAAGCGUGGGGAGCAAACAGGAUUAGAUACCCUUGUAGUC